CACAUCAUGUUUUGGUUAACAACAGAAUGCAUGUACGACAGUGGUCCCGUGAGAUCAUAAUACUGUAUUUUUACUGUACCUUUUCCAUGUUUAGAUUCACAAAUACUUACCACUGUGUUCCAGUUGCCUACAGUAUCCAGUACGGUGACAAGCUGCACAGGUCUAAGUCACCACACCUGGGGCUGAAGCAAGUCUUGCCUGUGCACCAAGCGUGGCCUUGGACCCUGGAGAGAUGCAAG
rnacentral:lncRNA from 10 species